UAAUACCGCAUNCGACCUAAGGGAGAAAGCGGGGGAUCUUCGGACCUCGCGCUAUAGGGGCGGCCGAUGGCAGAUUAGCUAGUUGGUGGGGUAAAGGCCUACCAAGGCGACGAUCUGUAGCUGGUCUGAGAGGACGACCAGCCACACUGGGACUGAGACACGGCCCAGACUCCUACGGGAGGCAGCAGUGGGGAAUUUUGGACAAUGGGGGAAACCCUGAUCCAGCAAUGCCGCGUGUGUGAAGAAGGCCUUCGGGUUGUAAAGCACUUUUGUCCGGAAAGAAAACCUUCGAGCUAAUACCUUGAGGGGAUGACGGUACCGGAAGAAUAAGCACCAGCUAACUACGUGCCAGCAGCCGCGGUAAUACGUAGGGUGCGAGCGUUAAUCGGAAUUACUGGGCGUAAAGCGUGCGCAGGCGGUUUGUUAAGACAGAUGUGAAAUCCCCGGGCUUAACCUGGGAACUGCAUUUGUGACUG
rnacentral:rRNA from 1 species